CAGCCGCCACGGUAAUACGUAGGGUGCAAGCGUUAAUCGGAAUUACUGGGCGUAAAGCGUGCGCAGGCGGUCCGCUAAGACAGAUGUGAAAUCCCCGGGCUUAACCUGGGAACUGCAUUUGUGACUGGCGGGCUAGAGUGUGUCAGAGGGGGGUAGAAUUCCACGCGUAGCAGUGAAAUGCGUAGAGAUGUGGAGGAAUACCGAUGGCGAAGGCAGCCCCCUGGGAUAGCACUGACGUUCAUGCCCGAAAGCGUGGGUAGCAAACAGGAUUAGAUACCCCCGUAGUCCCUGUCUCUUAUAC
rnacentral:rRNA from 1 species